UUUGUGAAAGCGUAGAGUUUAUUUGACAUGAAUAAAUCCUUGCAGCUGGAAGAAAGCUUUUCAUAGGAAGGAAACAGAUCUAUGUGAUAACACGUUACCAAACCAAAAAACAAUUGGUCUGAUGACACUGGGAAACAAAACAAUUUAAAGAGAUGUAUAAAACAGAUCUGCUCUAACAAAAAUGAGGUUCAUGUUGAUAUUGUGAAAAACCUAGCCGUAAGGACAAAUUUUUCUACAGGGCAGGUGUAAGAAGCUGGAACAAUUUUUUGUCUCAAAGCUUGCUCAGCAGCACCUAUUCAAGACAUAACCUGCUCGACAAGCUUCUGGGGUUAACAGUUACCAUGAACACAGUGGUAAGAGAAACAUACGCAGCUGGGCGACCUGGAGAAGCCUUUUUGGCUGUUGCUUAUUUUGGGCAUUCAGGCUGACUUAUGGGGGUCAUCUCAGAGGAGAGGACAACCAUGCAGUCAGUGUGCAUACCUAGCAGCCCACCAUGCAACCAAUUACCCAAUGGGAAGAGCACGUACUAUGGACGUGCUGUUGCAACUGCCGUCGCCCCUGACGAACCAAACAGAAUUGUCCCUGACAACCAGCUGCUGCCCCUGGCAACCAGAAGGACACUGUGGAGAGGAUAAAAACCCAAAGAGUUCUGAGGAAGAACGGGUACCGCCUCUGCUGAACUGCAGACGUGCAGGUCAACAAGAUGUCGUUGACCGACUUGCUGCCUGCCUAUGGAGCAACGAGAUGUUGCUGGAUCCCUGGUGGUGACUACCCCUGCUUUAUCUUCUGCUCUCUUGGAAUGAAAGGAAUUGCUCUGACUCUGGAUGAUAAAUAUAACUUCUUUUAACUCUGUGAACCAGAAAACAAGAAGAUUUCAGGACAAAGACUUCUCAGUUGAAAGUACCAGUACUGUCUGCUUCCACAACCUACCGCUGCAACACAUCCCUAAAAUUUGUUACCUAACACAUAAAAUACUUUCCUUUGAUUUUAAGCAAAACAAAAUGAAACAAACAAAAGCCAUCAAACCAUAGAUGAUGGUAGCUACAUCACUGACAUUUUAUUGUAGCACUUCUAAGUCUCCUAAGUAAUGAGAUUAUAUAAAAAGUUAUGUAAACAGAGCACUGGCAAAAGCAAAAAAAACCCAGUCUGUCAGUGCCCCCCUGGAUGUUUUACGAGGUGAGACACAACAGGUCUGCAAGGAGUGAUAAAAACAGCAGCGAAAACCAAACAGCACCAAGAACCUGGCUGUGCUAAGAGAUUCAAUAGAAAGAGAUGAAAGAACACGGAGAAAGAGGAAAGAGACUUCAUUUGACACCACGAUGCAGUUCCUCUCAAACUGGAAUGAGACAGUGCUGGCAUUUCAUAGAGAGCAACAUGAAAAAAAAUCACUCUGAUAAGAAACCAAUUUAUCUUGGCUUCAAGACACACAGAAUACUUGAGGUUGGAGAGGACCUCCGAUGAUCACGUAGUCCAACUGCAUCAGUCAAAGCACAGCAAACUGGAGCAGACUACUCAGGAUGUUACCUGAGUCUAGGAGUAUUUCCUAGGACAGAGACUCCACAAACUCUCUAGCAAACCUUUUCCAGUACUCAAUCACUCUUAAAUUAAAACAAAAAUAAAGAAACUAUUCCUUAUAUUUAAA